rnacentral:rRNA from 1 species
UACGGAGGGUGCAAGCGUUAUCCGGAUUCACUGGGUUUAAAGGGUGCGUAGGUGGGCAGGUAAGUCAGUGGUGAAAUCUCCGGGCUUAACCCGGAAACUGCCAUUGAUACUAUCUGUCUUGAAUACCGUGGAGGUGAGCGGAAUAUGUCAUGUAGCGGUGAAAUGCUUAGAUAUGACAUAGAACACCAAUUGGCGAAGGCAGCUCACUACACGAAUAUUGACACUGAGGCACGAAAGCGUGGGGAUCAAACAGG